rnacentral:rRNA from 1 species
UACGGAGGAGGCAAGCGUUAUCCGGAAUUAUUGGGCGUAAAGCGUCCGCAGGUGGCACUUCAAGUCUGUCGUCAAAGACCGGGGCUUAACUUCGGAAAGGCAGUGGAAACUGAACAGCUAGAGUAUGGUAGGGGCAGAGGGAAUUCCUGGUGUAGCGGUGAAAUGCGUAGAGAUCAGGAAGAACAUCGGUGGCGAAGGCGCUCUACUGGACCACAACUGACAUUCAGGGACGAAAGCUAGGGGAGCGAAUGGG